rnacentral:tRNA from 1 species
GCGGCAAUAGCUCAGUUGGUAGAGCAUCGGCUUCCCAAGCCGAGGGUCGCGGGUUCGAGUCCCGUUUGCCGCU